rnacentral:pre_miRNA from 1 species
AGUGCAAUUCCUGGGAUAUAAGUUAAAUGCAUACUUAGUUUUAAAAGAAAUUGCCAGAAAAUUUUCUAGAGUGCUGUACCAAUUCACAUUCCCACCAGUAAU